CCUACGGGUGGCAGCAGUGAGGAAUAUUGGUCAAUGGGCGCGAGCCUGAACCAGCCAAGUAGCGUGAAGGAUGACUGCCCUACGGGUUGUAAACUUCUUUUAUAAAGGAAUAAAGCGAGGCACGUGUGCCUUUGUGCAUGUACUUUAUGAAUAAGGAUCGGCUAACUCCGCGCCAGCAGCCGCGGUAAUACGGUGUGUCCGAGCGUUAUCCGGAUUUAUUGGGCUUAAAGGGAGCCUAGAUGGGUUGUUAAGUCAGUUGUGAAAUUUUGGGGCUCAACCGUAAAAUUGCACUUGAUACUGGCAGUCUUGAGUACAGUUGAGGUAGGCGGAAUUCGUGGUGUAGCGGUGAAAUGCUUAGAGAUCACGAAGAACCCCGAUUGCGAAGGCAGCUUACUAAACUGAGACUGACAUUGCUGCUCGAAAGUGUGGGUAUCAAACAGGAUUAGAUACCCUUGUAGUC
rnacentral:rRNA from 1 species